rnacentral:rRNA from 1 species
AACGGCGGCCGUAACUAUAACGGUCCUAAGGUAGCGAAAUUCCUUGUCGGUUAAAUACCGACCUGCAUGAAUGGCGUAACGAGAUGGGAGCUGUCUCAACCAGAGAUUCAGUGAAAUUGUAGUGGAGGUGAAAAUUCCUCCUACCCGCGGCAAGACGGAGAGACCCCGUG